GUUCCUCUGGGACCUGAGGUGGUGUGUACUGGUUUUCAGAAAUAGGGCUUGGCCCCCUUUGACUCCUUUAAGGAAGACUCCUCUCCUCUCCCCUCCUCUCCUCUCCCCUUCUCUCCCCACCCCACACCACACUCCUCUUUCUUUUUUCUUUCUUCUCUCCUCUUUUUUUAUGCUUAGCCUUGCCCCCAUUUGUUCUUCUGGUAGAAACAAUCACAGAUGGGACCAGGAUCAACUGUAGGCAGGAGGCCAGCGUGAAUGCAGGCAAGAGGAGCAGGCCUUCUGUUGGGAAUGUGGAGCCAGGGAACAGGGGCCCUGGGUGGCUGGAUUUCCAUAGCCUGAGUUGGGCUGUGGGAUGGCAUUGUGCAAAGGUGAGCCGCAGACAUGGUGAAAGCCCCAGAAGGCCUGGAGCGGUGAAAGGCAAGCCAUACACAUUUGCUACUGAAAUCAACAACUUCAGUGCCUGUGGUGUUAUAAACACAUGGUGGGCCCUCCCUCAUGGCAUGGAGGAAAGUGCACUGGAUUUGAAAUCAGAACAUCUGGCUUGGGGCCUGGCACUCUGCCCCCGCUGUGUCUUAUUUCACGUCAGGUGA
rnacentral:lncRNA from 1 species